rnacentral:tRNA from 1 species
UCCCAUAUUGUCUAGUGGUUAGGAUACCUGACUCUCACCCAGGAGGCCCGGGUUCAAUUCCCGGUAUGGGAA